rnacentral:rRNA from 1 species
GUCUACGGCCAUACCACCCUGAACGCGCCCGAUCUCGUCUGAUCUCGGAAGCUAAGCAGGGUCGGGGUUAGUACUUGGAUGGGAGACCGUCUGGGAAUACCAGGUACUGUAGGCU